CCCAAUUUGCUGGUUUACGUGUCUUCUUGGCCGUGCGUCGUUUGAGUGAGGUAGGUGUACAUGUCUUCCGUUAAGUACUGCAACAGAGCCAGGUCAAGCCCACCAUCUCUCCCCUCCAAGAAUUUUCUUCUGUUCGGUGGGUCAAAUUUGCAAUCAAACGAUUCUUUCUCAGCUGAAGACAAACACAUAUAUGUAUAUACUCUUUAUUCUGGUUCACUUCCUAUCUUGGUUCAGCUUCGUUGUUUCUGGGUUCACAGACUACAAACCAAACUCCACCAUCUGGUCAACUAGUUACUGGAUUGGACCAUGUAAUCAUCACCAUGAAGAAGGGGGAUAUGGCAAUGUUCAUUUUGGCUCCUCGUUUGGGUUAUGGAUCCACAGGAAAAAAUGGUGUCCCUCCCAAUUGUGUUAUUUAGUUUGAAGUGGAUCUCAUCUCAUGGAUCACAGUAGUAAAUGUUUGCAACGAUGGUGGAAUUAUCAAGAAAGUGAUAGAGAAGGGAGAACAAAUUGGCCCACUCCCAUCCCAGUUCCUACCCAAGAUCGAGAUCAGAAACCUAAACAAGCUUUGGCACCAUUGGGAGUGGGAAAAAGUUGAGUAUUUUACAUUGGCUGAUCUUUGGAAUCCUUUUGAUGGAGUGCUUAUGGUGCUAAUGUGCCUUACCUCUUUGCAAUCCAAAUCUUUACAAGCAAGUCGUUGGCGAACAGUUUAAGAGAUUGGGCUGGAAUUGACAGCAUUUGGCGUACUGUUCUCAUUCUUGGGAAUCAUUUGAUUUUUUGAUAAGGGACUACUUGCCAUGGGAAAUGUAAGUAAAACAUUUCUCUCAUCACAAUUUUAUUGCUCAGUUUCUUCCAUUAUUGAGCAUUUUUAGUUUAGCUUCUUGUGUAUUUGAUGCCUACUAAACAUUGUGUUAUUUUGGUGACACUG